rnacentral:rRNA from 1 species
AUACGUAGGUGGCGAGCGUUGUCCGGAAUUACUGGGUGUAAAGGGCGCGUAGGCGGGGCUGCAAGUCAGAUGUGAAAUACCGGGGCUCAACCCUGGGGCUGCAUUUGAAACUGUGGCUCUUGAGUGCAGGAGAGGAAAGCGGAAUUCCUAGUGUAGCGGUGAAAUGCGUAGAGAUUAGGAGGAACACCAGUGGCGAAGGCGGCUUUCUGGACUGUAACUGACGCUGAGGCGCGAAAGCGUGGGGAGCAAACAGGAUUAGAUACCCUGGUAGUCCACGCCGUAAACGAUGGAUACUAGGUGUUGGAGGUAUCGACCCCUUCAGUGCCGGAGUUAACACAAUAAGUAUCCCACCUGGGGAGUACGGCCGCAAGGUUGAA